AUUGAACGCUGGCGGCAUGCUUUACACAUGCAAGUCGAACGGUAACAGGCCGCAAGGUGCUGACGAGUGGCGAACGGGUGAGUAAUGCAUCGGAACGUGCCCAGUCGUGGGGGAUAACGCAGCGAAAGCUGCGCUAAUGCCGCAUACGAUCUAUGGAUGAAAGCGGGGGACCGAAAGGCCUCGCGCGAUUGGAGCGGCCGAUGUCAGAUUAGGUAGUUGGUGGGGUAAAGGCUAACCAAGCCAACGAUCUGUAGCUGGUCUGAGAGGACGACCAGCCACACUGGGACUGAGACACGGCCCAGACUCCUACGGGAGGCAGCAGUGGGGAAUUUUGGACAAUGGGCGCAAGCCUGAUCCAGCAAUGCCGCGUGCAGGAAGAAGGCCUUCGGGUUGUAAACUGCUUUUGUACGGAACGAAACGGUCCGGGUUAAUACCCUGGGCUAAUGACGGUACCGUAAGAAUAAGCACCGGCUAACUACGUGCCAGCCGCCGCCGUAAGAC
rnacentral:rRNA from 1 species